ACCUACGGGGGGCAGCAGUGAGGAAUAUUGGUCAAUGGGCGGAAGCCUGAACCAGCCAAGUCGCGUGAGGGAAUAAGGCCCUACGGGUCGUAAACCUCUUUUGCCGGGGAGCAAGGGCCGGGACGCGUCCCGGCCCGGAGAGUACCCGGAGAAAAAGCAUCGGCUAACUCCGUGCCAGCAGCCGCGGUAAUACGGAGGGGGCGAGCGUUGUCCGGAAUGACUGGGCGUAAAGGGCGCGUAGGCGGUUUAAUAAGUCAGUGGUGAAAACUGAGGGCUCAACCCUCAGCCUGCCACUGAUAUUGUUA
rnacentral:rRNA from 1 species